rnacentral:tRNA from 1 species
GCUGGCCUUGCUCAAUGGCAGAGCACCCGACUUGUGAAUCGGGGACUGGGUUCGAAUCCCGGGGCCAGUA